UAGUAACGGCGAGUGAAGCGGGAAGAGCUCAAACUUGAAAUCUCCAAGCGUGUUACGUUUGGCGAAUUGUAGUCUAUGGAAUCGAUGUCAGCCGAAUUUCCCGAGUCAAGUUCUCUGAAAGGAGACAGCAUGGAGGGUUAUACUCCCGUGAUUACUUGGGCAAAUGGUGCGUACGACACGUAUUCGUUGAGUCGCGUUGUUUGGGACUGCAGCGCAAAGGAGGUGGUAAAUUCCAUCUAAAGCUAAAUACUGGUGCGAGACCGAUAGCGAACAAGUACCGUGAGGGAAAGAUGAAAAGAACUUUGAAAAGAGAGUUAAAAAGUACCUGAAACUGCUGAAAGGGAAGCGAAUCGAUUCGAGUGUCUAUAAUCCUUGGCAUAUUUCAAUGCGUAUGGUCAUGGAUAGAGCAUGUACGAUGGAUGAAUUCACGUACAUGCUGUAUUGCGUGUGCAUGCGAGUUGCACUGUGCCAUGGUGGGACGUCAACGUGAGUUUGGAUCGUGGGAAAAGGUGACUGUGGAAGAUAGGAAGCAUGUUUACAUGUUUCCUUUAUAACCACGUUGACUGGUAGCCAUGAUGUAGACUGAGGAAUCGUAUAACAACCUGCUUGCAAGGCCAUGUACGUUGUUUGGUCGAUUGCAUUAGAAAGCUUGCUUUGUAAUGCGUUUGUGCGAAACGGUCGUGGAUGG
rnacentral:rRNA from 1 species